ACACACACACAUUUCGUCCUGCGGGAACACAGCCGCUGCGGGAGGAAAGCACGAGAUGGGCAUAAGCGGCCGAAGCCACAGUGCGCUCCCAGCGGGGACACGAAGUCAGCCAGAGCCGCUCCUUCCCGGGCCCGCAGGGCCGGUGCUGUCCCGAAGGUCCCCGCUCCCCUGCGGACUGCGGAACAAAGACGGGCCGGCCCAGCUCCACCCUGCACAUCUCUGUAGUAUUGGGCUUUUCCCCCUUUCCCCCCCUCUUUGCCCUGUUUUCCAGCCUGCAGUUACUGAAGGUCAGAUGGAGAGGUCAUGGCUCUGCAUCCCCUAUAAAUAGAUUUUGAUAUUUAGACAGCUAUUGCUACUCAAUAUUAACUUACAGGAUAAUGGCGAGAGAUACCGUAUGCACUGAACCUGUUAUUCACGAGUGAGCAGCAUCUGUCGAAUACAAUUCUCGUCUUUUCGCCC
rnacentral:lncRNA from 7 species